GAUGAACGCUAGCGGGAGGCCUAACACAUGCAAGCCGAGCGGUAGAGUUUCUUCGGAAACUUGAGAGCGGCGCACGGGUGCGUAACACGUGUGCAACCUACCUUUAUCUGGGGGAUAGCCUUUCGAAAGGAAGAUUAAUACCCCAUAAUAUAAUGAUUGGCAUCAAUUAUUAUUGAAAACUCCGGUGGAUAGAGAUGGGCACGCGCAAGAUUAGAUAGUUGGUGAGGUAACGGCUCACCAAGUCAAUGAUCUUUAGGGGUCCUGAGAGGGAGAUCCCCCACACUGGUACUGAGACACGGACCAGACUCCUACGGGAGGCAGCAGUGAGGAAUAUUGGACAAUGGGUGAGAGCCUGAUCCAGCCAUCCCGCGUGAAGGAUGACGGCCCUAUGGAUUGUAAACUUCUUUUGUACAGGGAUAAACCUACCCUCGUGAGGGUAGCUGAUGGUACUGUACGAAUAAGCACCGGCUAACUCCGUG
rnacentral:rRNA from 1 species